CCCUGUGGACGGGAGGAUCUUACG
rnacentral:rRNA from 1 species